rnacentral:rRNA from 1 species
AUGUUAUCAUAAUAACUAAGACCAAAGUACAACUAAGCUGUCAUAAGCCAAAGUUGUACCUAAGACCACCUUAUAGACGAUCUUAGCACUUUAGAUUAAUUUAACCCCACGAAAGCUAAGGCACAAACUGGGAUUAGAUACCCCACUAUGCUUAGCCCUAAAUCUUGAUGCUAUCUCGUACUGAAGCAUCCGCCCGAGAACUACGAGCACAAACGCUUAAAACUCUAAGGACUUGGCGGUGCCUAAACCCACCUAGAGGAGCCUGUUCUGUAAUCGAUAAUCCACGUUACACCCGACCGCCUCUUGCCAAAGCAGCCUACAUACCGCCGUCGCCAGCUCACCUCCCCUGAGAGUUCAAUAGUGAGCACAAUAGCUAAACCCGCUAAUAAGACAGGUCGAGGUAUAGCCUACGGGGCGGAAGAAAUGGGCUACAUUUUCUAAAAUAGAAAACCCACGGAAGGAGGCGUGAAACCGCCUCCCGAAGGCGGAUUUAGCAGUAAAGAGGGACAAUACAAGCCCCCUUUAAACCGGCCCUGGGCACGUACAUACCGCCCG